CAUUAGGUUGAUAAGAAAUUGUGGAGGAAAUAUAAGGAUGCUUUUGGUUGAUGGUAUUUGGAGAUCGAAUCUUUUUCCGAAAGAUCGAUUCUGUUUCGUUAUUAAAGUCAAUAUCAAAAUCAUCCCAAAAGCCGUCGUCAUUAUGCGCAGAGGAAGGCGUACGAAGCGAAGACUGUUCUACGCUGGAAAAGGAAGCUUUUGGAUCCAUCCUAUUUUGUUUUCUGUGCAAAAUACUGUUUAGGUCGGUAUCUGGGUCUAUUUCAAAAUCAUCUUCAAAUGAAGAAAAGCCUUCCGAUUCACAAUAAGGGGAGUCCGAAACACUGGGAUACCGAGCAUCAUUUUCACUUGAAAGAUAUGUUUUCUUAAGAGUAUCACUAGAGAAUGGAAUUGGAGGUCUUUGAGAAGCAGUUUCAGAUGCUCUAAUAGUAUUGAAUUCAUCAACAUCGGCAUCUUGGUAUUUAUUGGGACGAAGUGUAUUAAACUCAUUAUUACCUUCUUCACCUUCUUCAUCGAACGAAAAAUCAUCUUCAUAGCCUUCUACAUUGGAAGAAAUUCGGUUCUUGUUGGAAGACAGUUCAUGGUUUAAAUUAUGUACUUGUUGAUUCCAUUGUUCGACACGAGAAUGAGCGCUUGGUACAUCAGAAAUUGAAAGGCUAUUAAGACGACUAAUAGAGUCGUCAAACGAGAACCCAUCAUCCACACUCGUACUAGCACUAGUGGUAGCUAUGGAUUGAGUAAAUAGGCUAGCAUUAUCGACGUCGGAAGCAAAAUCAGGAUCAUCGUCCCAGCAUUCAACUUCAGUCAUUCAAUCAAAAUAAACGUAUACUAAAACGGCUUUGCUAAGAAAAGAAAUUGGAUGCAAAACGCAUAGAAUGAUUACUAACCGUAUUCACCCAAAACUGAAAACCCUAAAUUUGAUUUUCAAAGAAAAAGAAAGUGAGAGAGAAAAAGGAUGGUCACUAAUUUUGCAAAGAAGUAACCACUGUAAAUAUUUACGCUUUCAAACCCAGCUUCGAGAAGUAAUAAGUUAUGAACAGCAAUUCAAAAGGACUUCAGGAAUAUGAUUAUGAUGAUGCUUUCAGAGAUACAAUGAAAUUUUGUUUUGUAUAGAAAGCAAAAAAAAGAAUUUAACUUAUUUCAAUGACAAAAUCAAGGAAUCUGGGUUAGCGGUAUAUUGUUGAAAGAGACGGAGGUUGAGCUAGAGGUAUAAGUGUA